rnacentral:rRNA from 1 species
GUGAACGCUGGCGGCGUGCCUAACACAUGCAAAGUCGAGCGAAGUAUUAGGUGUAGCAAUACAUCUGAUACUUAGCGGCAGACGGGUGAGUAACACGUAGAUAACAUACCUCUUAGCGGGGGAUAGCCCGCCGAAAGGCGGGGGUAAUACCGCGUACGAUAAACUUGGUGGCAUCACCGAGUUAUGAAACAUCCGCAAGGAUGGCUAAAGAGAAUGAUCUGCGGCCUAUCAGCUAGUUGGCGGGGGUAACGGCCCCACCAAGGCAACGACGGGUAUCCGAACCUGAAAGGGUGAUCGGACACACUGACACUGAGACACGGGUCAGACUCCUACGGGGAGGCAGCAGUGAGGAAUUUUGGACAAUGGGGGAAACCCUGAUCCAGCGACGCCGCGUGAAGGAUGAAGGUCUUCGGAUUGUAAACUUCUUUUGUUUGGGACUAAGAAACCUGUAGAAAUGCGGGGAGUGAAUGUACCAAGCGAAAUAAGCCACGGCUAACUUUCGUGCCAGCAAGCCGCGGUAAUACGAAGGUGGCAAGCGUUACUCGGAAUUACUAGGCGUAAAAGGGCAGGUAGGUGGUUUGGUAAGUCUAUUGUGAAAGCUCCUGGCUUAACUGGGAGAGGUCAAUGGAUACUGCCGGACUUGAGUAUGGGAGAGGUUACUGGAAUUCCCGGUGUAGCGGUGAAAUGCGCAGAGAUCGGGAGGAACACCAAUGGCGAAAGCAGGUAACUGGACCAUUACUGACACUCAGCUGCGAAAGCUAGGGGAGCAAACAGGAUUAGAUACCCUGGUAGUCCUAGCCGUAAAACGAUGCACUUUAGACGUGAGGGGGUUAUCGACCCCCUUCGUGUCGACGCUAACGCAUUAAAAGUGCCGCCUGGGGAGUACGGCCGCAAGGUUUGAAACUCAAAGGAAUUGACGGGGGCCCGCACAAGCGGUGGAGCAUGUGGUUUUAAUUCGACGCAACGCGAAGAACCUUACCUGGGCUUGAACUACUAGAGGUAGAACUGAUGAAAGUCGGGACGACCUGUCAAGUCAGGAACUAGCAGAGGUGCUGCAUGGCUGUCGUCAGCUCGUGUCGUGAGAUGUUGGGUUAAGUCCCGCAACGAGCGCAACCCUUACUCUAUGUUGCUAAGGCCUAUAAUGGCCAGCACUCUUAGAGAACUGCCUCGGACAACGGGGAGGAAGGUGGGGAUGACGUCAAGUCACCAUGGCCUUUAUGUCCAGGGCUACACACGUGCUACAAUGGCCGGUACAACGAGCAGCAAAAUCCGCAAGGAGGAGCAAAUCUCUAAAAAGCCGGCCCCCAGUUCAGAUUGUGGGCUGCAAUUCGCCCACAUGAAGGUGGAAUCGCUAGUAAUCGGAGAUCAGCUGGCUCCGGUGAAUACGUUCCCGGGCCUUGUACACCACCGCCCGUCACACCCACGAAAGUUGGGUGCAACCAAAAACCGUGAUUUCAACCGCAAGGAGGAUAACGGUCCAAGUUUGUGACCAAUGAUUGGGGUG